AAUGAAUGGAACGACAGUGACAGAGAAAAAUAAGUUAACUUCUGAAGACUCAUCCAGUACUGGAGGGGCUGUGGUGUGCAACACCAGGAAACUAUGAGAAGGGAGUGGUUCAGCUGACUAACGUCACUGCUGUGUGCAGGCACGCCCAGCAGCUCCUCCAGCAGACUGCCCACUCCUGUCUUCCAGAUGCUGCUAACAUCAGCAAGCUGAGGACGCUCUCCCAUGGGAAGCAAGGGUUGGAGUGACAGCAAAAUGUCUGAAAAAUGACUUGAUGCCCUUCAUGGAUUUAAUGCAAUGGAUUGCUACAACCAUGGUUGGGGGGAGUUCCACCAUAUUCCUUAUACCACCAGUUAAUUCCUUUUAAGCCUAUGAGGGGGAUUGUAUGAAUGC
rnacentral:lncRNA from 8 species